ensembl:lncRNA uncharacterized LOC114448601
GUACUCUGUUGUUCUGAAGGUCCUGCCUGAUGCAGCUGAGACAUCAGGCAGAAAGAGACAACAAGAAAGCAGCACCGGUCACAGUCUCGUCACCGUUUACAGUUGCUGGGAGCAGAUAUGUGUCAGAACAGAAGCUUGGAGAAAGUGUCUGAACAAUAAAGAGGACUAAAGGAGCACCAGCAUUCACCAAACAAGGGAACUGUCUGCAGAGCUGCUGGAGAUAUUUCCUGUUCAUUUUACGAACAAAAUAUGGAAUAAGAAACCCAGAGUUGAGCUAGAAUGGAGAAAAGGAAGAAAGCAGAAAUGAGGAUGAAGAGGAACGUUUCUCAUAUCUGCUUGCUGCUUCUGGCUGUGGUCCAAAUCAGCACACCUUCCUCAGCUCAAAACACCACCACUACGGUGAACCCUGCAGCCCUCAGUUACCGCACACAGCCAGCAGGUGUCAGAGUGGCCGUGGGAGAGCCUGCAGUGUUUCGCUGUGGAGUGCCAGCAGCCUUUCCAAACCUCACUUUCACCUACUAUGGAAGUCACGGCACCUACAUCCUCAAAUGCCCUCAUGGAUAUGUGGAGGAUGUACCCCAGGCUCUCUAUGGAAGUUGUGAUGUGAAGAACGGAGAGUCAUUGUCCGUGUGGACACUCAGGAAACCCUCUUUGUCUGACAACGGGACAAGAGUCAUUUGUCAACAGUUAAAGAAUCCCCUUGCUCUUGCUGCUGUCCUGCAUGUUUAUGAUAAUAGUACGAGCUACUCCACUCUCAUUGGCUGUACCAUUGGAGGAUUCUUUGGCAUCCUGCUGGUGUUCGGUCUAUUGUACAUAAUCCUGCUAAGAUCUCAGCGCCUCCAGAAGUGCUUUGGUAAGUAGCGCUUUGAUUCACAGUGUUGUUAACCAUUUAAUACACUGAUUAGAAAGUGAUGAUGCUGAUGAAGUAAUCUGUGAUACCUUUGUGCUUUCAGGGGGGAGUGAAACUGAAGAUGACAUGACCGAAAUCGUAUCAAAGGACUAAAAAAAGACCUUAAGACCAUUAAGAUGGUGCUCACCUUCUACAAAGUGAUAAAAAGCAGAAUUAACUCUUUGUAUAUAUAUAUAUAUAUAUAUAUAUAUAUAUAUAUAUAUAUAUAUAUAUAUAUAUAUAUAUAUAUAUAUAUAUACCGUAUAUAUAUAUAUAUAUAUAUAUAUAUAUCUGUUUGAGCUGAUCCUGGAUCUGGAGAUCCUGUCUGUCACCUGACAGCCUCACUUCGUUGUUCUGCCUUCAGUUAUUAGACCACACAAUUCAUGGCCGCGAACCACACCUUUAAGUGGUUGGAGGUGUUAUGAAAGAGGGCGAGAUAAGGAGUAGCUGCUCCUAGCUGGACACAGUUUGUCCACUCUCUCAAAGCACUUACUAUAAGAAUACAUUUUUUAUUUCAGGAAGACAACAUUAAAACAUGCCAGAGUUUUAUAUUUUACUUUUGUUUGCAUAAAAGCAAAGUGACCCCUCUAAAACACAAAGAAGCAUUUAUUUCCUUUGAUUUAUUUUAUCGUCCUGUGCUGUUUGUUUCUUAUUGUCCUGCUGACCUUGUGCUGUAUUGAUGUAUGCUUCCCAAAGACAAUACUAAAGUCAUAUGAUGUCCAAAAGUUCUUAUUUGAAUUUCCUUCUGGGUGAAUUUUAGGUGAACAGUCAGAAAGGAACAUUAGGUCAGGCUUGAGUGUCUCUCUUAAAUCAGACAUUUAACAAACAUGCAUAUAGUAAAUGGAGAAGAGAUGCUGUAGAAGCCACAAACAAGAGAGACACAGGGUAGUUUGCUUCCCUCUGGUGGUGAACUCCUGACAUGUCUGCUUGUGUCAGGGCCUCUGUGUUCUUUUUCAUGCAUUUAAGUUGUUUUAGGCAACAACAAAAUGAGUAGAUAAUAAAUAAUUAAAACAUAAGUAGGAAAGGAGGAAA